rnacentral:tRNA from 2 species
GGCAGCGUAGCUCAGUCGGUGAGAGCGCCGGAUUCAUAACCCGGAGGUCGGUGGUUCAAAUCCACCCGCUGCUACCA